AGGUCCAACCAAAAAAUAAAAAAAAGUAUCAAAAUUAGAAAUCAACAAUUUGUUAUUCACAUCACGGACAACUGCUUCAUACAUGUCUUCUUCUGAUGGAUCGAAAAGCUAUUGUAGUUAUCUUCAGCAAGGCAUGGUGGGAAAAUAGCGUCACCAGUAAAUAUAAGUGUAAUUUUAAAUUUUUGUUUUAAUUUACAUCACAAUUUUUGGAUUUUAUGGAAACAAUGAUGCGACUUAAGUGAAAAAUAUUCUUCAAUUCCUGGUUGCUGUAACUGCUUCUCUCUGGAUCAAGCACUGACAUCAGGUCUUUAUUAACAGACCUCCCAUAUAAAGAUGGAUUAAACCCUAAUAUGUGAAUGGUGGUAGUACAACAGUGGCUGUAACUCUUCCACCACUCGGACAUAUCAGUUUGGAAGCUAGCUUACAAAGCAAAACAUUUAUAAAUGGACUACUAUAAAAUAAAUAUAUAUAUGUAUGAGUUGUUAAUUGAAGACAUAUGCAACAGUGAACAAAACUGUAUUAACAAAGCACUGGACAGAUUUCUAUUCUUAUGGUUCAUUUAAAAAACAGAUCCUUCUAAUUAAUCCAAUGAGGCCCACACUCGAUCUACCUCCAUCUGUGUCCUAUCAAGAUGAAUUGGAGGCAUUCACAGGACAUAAUGUGACAGAGGACAUGGAGCUCAGACUGUUAGAUGGUGCUCUGUCCUCUACAGUUGUCUUGAUAGUGUUGUUGACCAUCAUUUUCUCCUUGGUAAUGACAUCACUACUGACUUAUUGCUUCCAUAAGUGGAAGCUUAGAGCCCAAAAAUUUCAGAGGGCACAGGAAGAGUACCAGAAAGACCAAGAGAAAAACAUGUUAUCCUGCACUUCUUGACUUUUGCAAGGAGACGUUGACCUGCAAUAAAUGUAACGGUGCAGUGUGUGCUCAAAAUAACAACGGUCGUACACAAGUGUUUCAAAAGACACCUCAGUAUAACAGUAACAUCUUUAUAUCAUCAGCUCUGCAGGAGCUGGGCCAUCUCUAAAAUGCAUUCCGUAUUGCAAAUUCUAUAUACUGAGCAGCUUUCUUAACAAACAACUCUCAGAAUUAAAAAGGUGCUGACUAACCGUAAAAGACUGAUUAGUGAACGUGUUUUGCCACUAAUGAUAUUUUUGCUUAUGUGAUUUUAAUUCAUAUAAUUAAUCUGUAUUAUAUUUUGUUUUCAGUAAAGUGCCAAUGGAUAAGAAUUAAAAAAAAAUCAUAAGAUGCAGAACAGUUAAACUGAAAGGCACUUAUGUAUAAUAUAGUUUCGUUAAUUUAAGAGAACAUGUUGUAGUACUUGAUUUUGGUUAAUUUGCAUAUGUUCAGUAUUAUUUUAUGGUUCCUUUCAUCUUUUAGUUCUUCAUUUUACACAAUGCCCAUCUACAAAGACAUAGCAUAAACCAAAUUCAUAGAUCAUUUUUUUGGAUGUCAAUCUUAUCUGCCCAUGUUCAUGUAUCCAAAAUUGCAUGUUUUUAAGAGUAAACAAUAGCUCUUCCUUCUCUAUAUGGAAGGCGUAACAGUUCAAGUUGAUGACAUUUUUAAGAUUGAUCCUUUUAAUUUAUGUCAUGGGCAUUUCAUGAGUCAUUGUAUAGUACAGAAGACAUACAAUAAAUUGCCUACUCCAAAAGAAAAACAACACACACUGUAACAUGAACUUUUCUCAUAACCAUUUAAUUACUCACACCAGGAGCUCAGAGUAUGUGUUCUAAUUACUCUUUUUCGUAAAUGGGGCCCCGAAACUGCAAGUUUUUAUUUUGUUAUCCUAUUCUUAUGUGCCAUGCAGGAUAUAACUGCUUUGCGUGGGUUGUACAGCAAUAUUUUCCAAGACAACUGAAUGUAUUAUAAAUGUAGGUGUUUUUUUUCUCAAUAUAAUUCUACACCACCCCUCCAAAAAAAAAAAAAAUACCGGUAAUAAUUUACAGAAUCUUGCUUGUACUUACUAGUCCUACUUUCAGCUUUUGCUUCUCUGAACAAAACACACUAUGUACCAUACAAAGAGGGCUAUUAAACUGGAAUGUUUUAAACACGUUGGUUAAUUUCUUCAUAUUGUGGUGGCAGAUUACUAUAGUGUUUGAAUAGAUGCAAGACUUGUUAUGUUAAUACUGUCUUUCUUUUCCACAGAGGGGGGGUUUGCUAAAAGGCACGCUGGUGGCACAACCACCAAUUAAUCUUAUGAUUUAUUGCAAAUGAAAGAAAAUAAAAUGAAGUCAUUUUUAACUUUA